AUUGAACGCUGGCGGCAUGCCUUACACAUGCAAGUCGAACGGCAGCAUGGAGAGCUUGCUCUCUGAUGGCGAGUGGCGAACGGGUGAGUAAUAUAUCGGAACGUACCUUAUUGAGGGGGAUAACGUAGCGAAAGCUGUGCUAAUACCGCAUAAUCCUGAAGGGGGAAACCGGGGGACCGUAAGGCAUCGCGAAAUUAUAGCGGCCGAUACCUGAUUAGCUAGUUGGUGAGGUAAAGGCUCACCAAGGCAACGCUCAGUAGCUGGUCUGAGAGGACGAUCAGCCACACUGGGACUGAGACACGGCCCAGACUCCUACGGGAGGCAGCAGUGGGGAAUUUUGGACAAUGGGGGCAACCCUGAUCCAGCAAUGCCGCGUGAGUGAAGAAGGCCUUCGGGUUGUAAAGCUCUUUUGUCAGGGAAGAAACAGCAGCUCUAACACAGUUUGCGAAUGACGGUACCUGAAGAAUAAGCACCGGCUAACUACGUGCCAGCAGCCGCAGUAA
rnacentral:rRNA from 1 species